UACGAAGGGGGCUAGCGUUGCUCGGAAUUACUGGGCGUAAAGCGCACGUAGGCGGCUUUUUAAGUCAGGGGUGAAAUCCCGGGGCUCAACCCCCGGAACUGCCCUUGAAACUGGAGAGCUAGAAUCUUGGAGAGGCGAGUGGAAUUCCGAGUGUAGAGGUGAAAUUCGUAGAUAUUCGGAAGAACACCAGUGCGAAGGCGACUCGCUGGACAAGUAUUGACGCUGAGGUGCGAAAGCGUGGGGAGCAAACAGG
rnacentral:rRNA from 1 species